rnacentral:rRNA from 1 species
AUUUCGAGUAUCGACCCUCGAGGUGGCGUAGCUAACGCGUUAAAUGAACCGCCUGGGAAGUACGGCCGCAAGGCUAAAACUCAAAGGAAUAGACGGGGACUCGCACAAGCGGUGGAGCAUGAGGUUCAAUUCGACGGUAAACGAGAAAUCUUACCAGGGCUUGAAAUGCUUACGAAGAUUCGCCGAAAGGCAAAUCGUCUCUCAAGGACGUAAGCACAGGUGCUGCAUGGUUGUCGUCAGCUCGUGUUUUGAAAUGUUCCCUUAAGUGGGGUAACGAGCGCAACCCUUAUCCGAUGUUACAAGUGUCAUCGGGAACUGCCCUCUUUUUGGGGGAGGAAGGUGAGGAUGACGUCAAAUCCGCAUGGCCCUCUGAUGCCCUGGGCUACACUCGUGCUACAAUGGCCGGUACAAAGGGUUUGCCAAGCCGCGAGGCGGAGCUAAUCCCAAAAAACCGGUCUCAGUUCAGAUUGAAGGCUGCAACUUGCCUUCAUGAAGUCGGAAUCGCUAGUAAUCGCGGAUCACCUAUGCCGCGGUGAAUACGUUCUCGAGUCCUGUACUCACCGCCCGUCAAUUCAAGGAAGCCGGGAAUACCCGAUGGUCGUCUUAGACGACUUAGGGUAAAUUCGGUGACAUGGAAUAAGUCGUAACAAGGCACGCGUAGCGGAAGCUGUGCGUGGAUCAAUUAAAUA